UACGCAGGGGGCUAGCGUUGCUCGGAAUCACUGGGCGUAAAGCGCACGUAGGCGGAUCUUUAAGUCAGGGGUGAAAUCCUGGAGCUCAACUCCAGAACUGCCUUUGAUACUGGGGAUCUCGAGUCCGGAAGAGGUGAGUGGAACUCCGAGUGUAGAGGUGAAAUUCGUAGAUAUUCGGAAGAACACCAGUGGCGAAGGCGGCUCACUGGUCCGGUACUGACGCUGAGGUGCGAAAGCGUGGGGAGCAAACAGG
rnacentral:rRNA from 1 species